rnacentral:misc_RNA from 1 species
GUGAAUCAUCGAAUCUUUGAACGCAACUUGCGCUCUCUGGUAUUCCGGAGAGCAUGCCUGUUUGAGUGUCAUGAAAUCUCAACCAUUAGGGUUUCUUAAUGGCUUGGAUUUGGAGGUUGCCAUUCUAAAUGGCUCCUCUUAAAGGAGUUAGCAAGUUUAACUAUUGCUAUCUGGCGUAAUAAGUUUCGCUGGAAUGGUAUUGUGAAGCGUGCUUCUAAUCGUCUUCGGACAAUUACUUUGACUCUGGCCUCAAAUCAGGUAGGACUACCCGCUGAACUUAAGCAUAUCAAUAAGCGGAGGA